rnacentral:rRNA from 1 species
AGAGUUUGAUCCUGGCUCAGAACGAACGCUGGCGGCAGGCCUAACACAUGCAAGUCGAGCGCGCCUUCGGGUGAGCGGCGGACGGGUUAGUAACGCGUGGGAACGUGCCCUUCUCUACGGAAUAGCCUCUGGAAACGGAGAGUAAUACCGUAUACGCCCUUUGGGGGAAAGAUUUAUCGGAGAAGGAUCGGCCCGCGUUAGAUUAGGUAGUUGGUGGGGUAACGGCCUACCAAGCCUACGAUCUAUAGCUGGUUUUAGAGGAUGAUCAGCAACACUGGGACUGAGACACGGCCCAGACUCCUACGGGAGGCAGCAGUGGGGAAUCUUAGACAAUGGGGGCAACCCUGAUCUAGCCAUGCCGCGUGAGUGAUGAAGGCCUUAGGGUCGUAAAGCUCUUUCGCCUGUGAUGAUAAUGACAGUAGCAGGUAAAGAAACCCCGGCUAACUCCGUGCCAGCAGCCGCGGUAAUACGGAGGGGGUUAGCGUUGUUCGGAAUUACUGGGCGUAAAGCGCGCGUAGGCGGAUUAGAAAGUUGGGGGUGAAAUCCCGGGGCUCAACCCCGGAACUGCCUCCAAAACUGCUAGUCUAGAGUUCGAGAGAGGUGAGUGGAAUUCCGAGUGUAGAGGUGAAAUUCGUAGAUAUUCGGAGGAACACCAGUGGCGAAGGCGGCUCACUGGCUCGAUACUGACGCUGAGGUGCGAAAGUGUGGGGAGCAAACAGGAUUAGAUACCCUGGUAGUCCACACCGUAAACGAUGAAUGCCAGUCGUCGGAUAGUAUACUAUUCGGUGACACACCUAACGGAUUAAGCAUUCCGCCUGGGGAGUACGGUCGCAAGAUUAAAACUCAAAGGAAUUGACGG